UACAAAGCGAAAAAGGAGUCUUUUUGUUUACUGGAAUUGUGGUUGAUGGUGGAGUCAAUGCCCGAACCAAUAACCCUUGCAGUUUAAUGAUAAAUCCUGCUAAUUUCGUCGUCCUCAUUAAUCGGCAAGGAUCAAUUUAAGACCUAGAAUAGCAGUUUGUGAGAAACUAUUAGCAUACAAGUGAAGGUGUUCGAUGAAAUGCUUGGACGAAGAUAAUUGUUGAUUAGGCGCAUGGUGUUCGAUGAAUUGCUUCACUAUAAAUCCAUUGCUGGUUAGCAUCGUUUAGUACUGCGCCUUUGAUCCUUUCUACCGUGCAUUUGAUAAGGCUGUUGACGGUUGCGACGGAGCCCAAAGAGAGCUUGGCGGUUGGGACGGAAUCGACCAAUAUCUGGAAGGCAACAGUGAGCAAGGAUCCGAC